rnacentral:lncRNA from 1 species
CCUAAAAUUAUAAAUAUUUUUAAACUAAAUUUAUAAAUAUUUUUAAAUUAUUGUGUUUAAAUUGAAUUUUCUUUACAAAGCUGCGCUUGUUUUUUCCUUUUCUAUUCCUUAUUUUGACGUCAUUUAUGCGUUCAAAUUUUCCUUUAAAAUUUUUUUAUUUUGACCUAAUUUUAUACAGUUAUUUUGAUUCAAUCAUUAUGCCUUUAAUCGAUAACACUAUCGUACGUGUAAUCAACUUUAUACAGCGCUGUGGCAACACUACAAGUAUUUACCGUCCCAACUCACACCGUUGUAUGGCGUACAGGACGUAUAAGUAACUUCGCAGCAUCCUAACGGCCAAAUGUGCUCAGCGCAAAAUAAUCACUUUUAGUUCUUCGCUGGCCAACGUUGUGUUCGCAUGUAUUUCUAACGGUACUUACGAAGCAUUGAAAAAUUCAAAGUGUGUUAGAAAUCUAAAACUAAAAAUAAAACAGAAAAGUCAAGAACGCCGACCGGAAGUCAAGCCACAAUUGUCGAGUGUUAAUUUUAUGAAUAACAACAACUGCAAUUUAUGAAAUAAUCACAAGAAAGCAAAUUUGUGCGCAAUUUAACGGGAAAUAUAAGAAUCACGAAAAAUAAAAGAACAAAAUAAAAUAAAAAAUAAAGGAAAAACUUAUAAACCUAAAAAACAAAUAAAUAUAUAU